GUCUAAGCAAGUAGGUAGAGAAUAGAGGCAAAUCCCUAUUCUUAAUAUCGAGAUGUGAUGGGGAGCGAAAAACAAGUAGUGAAGCAACAAAUUCCAAACUGCCAAGAAAAGGUACUAUUGAGUGAGAAGAUACCCGUACCAAAACCGACACAGGUAGGCAAGGAGAGAAUCCUAAGACGCGCGGAAGAACCUUUGUUAAGGAACUCGGCAAAAUGACCCCGUAACUUCGGGAGAAGGGGUACCAUUAGAUGUGAAGUACUUACGUAUGGAGCAUAGAGUGGUCGCAGAGAAUAGGCCCAAGCAACUGUUUACCAAAAACACAAGUCUCUGCUAAAUCGAAAGAUGAAGUAUAGGGGCUGACACCUGCCCGGUGCUGGAAGGUUAAGGGGAAAUGUUAGAGUAAUCGAAGCAUAGAACUUAAGCCCCAGUAAACGGCGGCCGUAACUAUAACGGUCCUAAGGUAGCGAAAUUCCUUGUCGGGUAAGUUCCGACCCGCACGAAAGGUGUAAUGAUUUGGGCACUGUCUCAACAAAGGAUCCGGUGAAAUUGUAGUAGUCGUGAAGAUGCGACUUACCCACGAUAGGACGGAAAGACCCCGUGGAGCUUUACUGUAGGCUGGCAUUGGAAUUUGGUAUUAAAUGUACAGGAUAGGUGGGAGACUUUGAAGCGAGAGCGCCAGUUUUCGUGGAGUCAACGUUGGGAUACCACUCUUUUGAUACUAAAUUUCUAACUUGAUACUCUGAAGCGAGUAUAAGGACACUGUCAGUUGGGCAGUUUGACUGGGGCGGUCGCCUCCUAAAGAGUAACGGAGGCGUUCAAAGGUUCCCUCAGAAUGGAAGGAAAUCAUUCAAAGAGUGCAAAGGCAAAAGGGAGCUUAACUGCGACACCAACAAGUGGAGCAGAUAGGAAACUAGGACUUAGUGAUCCGGUGGUACCGAGUGGAAGGGCCAUCGCUCAACGGAUAAAAGCUACCCCGGGGAUAACAGGCUUAUCUCCCCCAAGAGUUCACAUCGACGGGGAGGUUUGGCACCUCGAUGUCGGCUCGUCUCAUCCUGGGGCUGGAGUAGGUCCCAAGGGUUGGGCUGUUCGCCCAUUAAAGAGGCACGCGAGCUGGGUUCAGAACGUCGUGAGACAGUUCGGUCCCUAUCCAUCGUGGGCGAAGGAAAUUUGAGAGGAGCUGUUCUUAGUACGAGAGGACCGGGAUGGACAGACCGCUGGUGUAUCAGUUAUCAUGCCAAUGGUAAUGCUGAAUAGCUAAGUCUGGAAGGGAUAAGUGCUGAAGGCAUCUAAGCACGAAGCCCCCCUCAAGAUGAGAUUUCCUGUUGCAGAAAUGCAAGAGAGAUUCGAUAAAGAAAAUGUCGUAGAUAGGUCAGAGGUGUAAAGGUGGCAACAUCAAAGCUAACUGAUACUAAUAAAUCGAAAGCUUGACCAG
rnacentral:rRNA from 1 species